rnacentral:rRNA from 1 species
UAUUGCACAAUGGGCGCAAGCCUGAUGCAGCCAUGCCGCGUGUAUGAAGAAGGCCUUCGGGUUGUAAACCUCUUUCAGCAGGGGAGAAGCGAAAGUGACGGUACCUGCAGAAGAAGCGCCGGCUAACUACGUGCCAGCAGCCGCGGUAAUACGUAGGGCGCGAGCGUUGUCCGGAAUUAUUGGGCGUAAAGAGCUUGUAGGCGGUUUGUCGCGUCUGCUGUGAAAGCCCGGGGCUUAACCCCGGGUUUGCAGUGGGUACGGGCAGACUAGAGUGCAGUAGGGGAGACUGGAAUUCCUGGUGUAGCGGUGAAAUGCGCAGAUAUCAGGAGGAACACCAAUGGCGAAGGCAGGUCUCUGGGCUGUAACUGACGCUGAGAAGCGAAAGCAUGGGGAGCAAACAGG